rnacentral:rRNA from 1 species
GAUGAACGCUGGCGGCGUGCCUAAUACAUGCAAGUCGAGCGAACGGACGAGAAGCUUGCUUCUCUGAUGUUAGCGGCGGACGGGUGAGUAACACGUGGAUAACCUACCUAUAAGACUGGGAUAACUUCGGGAAACCGGAGCUAAUACCGGAUAAUAUUUUGAACCGCAUGGUUCAAAAGUGAAAGACGGUCUUGCUGUCACUUAUAGAUGGAUCCGCGCUGCAUUAGCUAGUUGGUAGGGUAACGGCUUACCAAGGCAACGAUGCAUAGCCGACCUGAGAGGGUGAUCGGCCACACUGGAACUGAGACACGGUCCAGACUCCUACGGGAGGCAGCAGUAGGGAAUCUUCCGCAAUGGGCGAAAGCCUGACGGAGCAACGCCGCGUGAGUGAUGAAGGUCUUCGGAUCGUAAAACUCUGUUAUUAGGGAAGAACAUAUGUGUAAGUAACUGUGCACAUCUUGACGGUACCUAAUCAGAAAGCCACGGCUAACUACGUGCCAGCAGCCGCGGUAAUACGUAGGUGGCAAGCGUUAUCCGGAAUUAUUGGGCGUAAAGCGCGCGUAGGCGGUUUUUUAAGUCUGAUGUGAAAGCCCACGGCUCAACCGUGGAGGGUCAUUGGAAACUGGAAAACUUGAGUGCAGAAGAGGAAAGUGGAAUUCCAUGUGUAGCGGUGAAAUGCGCAGAGAUAUGGAGGAACACCAGUGGCGAAGGCGACUUUCUGGUCUGUAACUGACGCUGAUGUGCGAAAGCGUGGGGAUCAAACAGGAUUAGAUACCCUGGUAGUCCACGCCGUAAACGAUGAGUGCUAAGUGUUAGGGGGUUUCCGCCCCUUAGUGCUGCAGCUAACGCAUUAAGCACUCCGCCUGGGGAGUACGACCGCAAGGCUGAAACUCAAAGGAAUUGACGGGGACCCGCACAAGCGGUGGAGCACGUGGUUUAAUUCGAAGCAACGCGAAGAACCUUACCAAAUCUUGACAUCCUUUGACAACUCUAGAGAUAGAGCCUUCCCCUUCGGGGGACAAAGUGACAGGUGGUGCAUGGUUGUCGUCAGCUCGUGUCGUGAGAUGUUGGGUUAAGUCCCGCAACGAGCGCAACCCUUAAGCUUAGUUGCCAUCAUUAAGUUGGGCACUCUAAGUUGACUGCCGGUGACAAACCGGAGGAAGGUGGGGAUGACGUCAAAUCAUCAUGCCCCUUAUGAUUUGGGCUACACACGUGCUACAAUGGACAAUACAAAGGGCAGCGAAACCGCGAGGUCAAGCAAAUCCCAUAAAGUUGUUCUCAGUUCGGAUUGUAGUCUGCAACUCGACUACAUGAAGCUGGAAUCGCUAGUAAUCGUAGAUCAGCAUGCUACGGUGAAUACGUUCCCGGGUCU